ACUUAAAAAAUCUAUAAAAGCAACUCGCGUCGUUUAAUUUUUCUCUUAUUUAAUAAAUAUAUUCAAAGCCGUCACGUAAGAAAAUGAUUACACCAAAGCAAAGCCAAAUUAGUGGUUUAUAUUUUAAAGUGAAGAAAAGUUGAUAAACUACACUGAUGCAGCCGGAAUUAAACGAUUUAAAAAGAUGUGAAAAACCACGUGGCGACAGAGGGCAAGCCGGCGUUGACAUGCUUAGCUUUUUACACAAAAAAAGGCGGCAUUUUGAGGAACCUGCUUGGAAAAUGUGAAGUUAGAUCUGCAUUGUUAAAAGUAGGCCCCUUUUUGAGAAACAACCCUGGAAAAAUGUGAAAUUACAAACAUUUUCGGCUUCUGGAAGCCUUGUUGCACUGGAAUUAUAUCUGUCAUAUGGUUCUCCUCUUAUGGAAGGGAAAUCAUUUGGAAAACCAGCAAUGCCACAUAAGGUUAUGAAAUAUGAUUUUAAUGAGGCACUUAAAGGGUUCUUAAGUUCAGGCAUGAUCUGUGAACUCAUGAACUCUUCCAUCACCCAUUCUAAUCACUUUUUGAAGAUGGUAUAAUGCUGCGGGUACUCCAAAUGAUAUUGCUGUCUAAACGAAAAGAUAUUCCCAUAAAUAAUAUUUGAAAUCUGGAAAUCUUGGAAAAAGUAGCUGUUAUGGAAAUCACCACAAGCUCGUAUUUUGAAAGUCUUUCAAUGCUAAUCAACCUUAAUAUAUAUUUAAAAGCUUGUGAACAUUAUUUUGGGAGCUGAUUAAUUCUGAUGAAUCUAAUACAAAGAUUGUCUUCGCAAAUCUAUAUGUUCUUUGAUAGUUUCACCGAGCUUAGGAUUAAAAAUCUGCCAAGGUAAAUAAUCUACCUCCCGUUUCUUUUUUAUUUAUUUGAAAUGAGGAAAAUUCGUCCGUACACAUUUAACUGAGAUAAACCCUGCUGUUUGACGAUUCCCCACCUGAUCAAAUCAUUUCAAAUAUUUAAUUUGUUACAAAUGUUUAAGAAUAUUUAACUCAUUCGUUUUUUUUUAUUUUUUUUGCAGGUUGUGGCGUAAUUAUUUACUUUUU